CCUACGGGAGGCAGCAGUGAGGAAUAUUGGUCAAUGGACGCAAGUCUGAACCAGCCAUGCCGCGUGCAGGAAGACGGCUCUAUGAGUUGUAAACUGCUUUUGUACGAGGGUAAACGCAGAUACGCGUAUCUGUCUGAAAGUAUCGUACGAAUACGGAUCGGCUAACUCCGUGCCAGCAGCCGCGGUAAUACGGAGGGUUCAAGCGUUAUCCGGAUUUAUUGGGUUUAAAGGGUGCGUAGGCGGUCGGAUAAGUUAGAGGUGAAAUCCCGAGGCUCAACUUCGGAAUUGCCUCUGAUACUGUACGGCUAGAGAGUAGUAGCGGUAGGCGGAAUGUAUGGUGUAGCGGUGAAAUGCUGAGAGAUCAGACAGAACACCGAUUGCGAAGGCAGCUUACCAAGCUACUUCUGACGUUGAGGCACGAAAGCGUGGGGAGCAAACAGGAUUAGAUACCCGAGUAGUC
rnacentral:rRNA from 1 species